rnacentral:rRNA from 1 species
UGGGGAAUAUUGGACAAUGGGCGGAAGCCUGAUCCAGCCAUGCCGCGUGUGUGAAGAAGGCCUUUUGGUUGUAAAGCACUUUAAGCGAGGAGGAGGCUACUUGGAUUAAUACUCUAGGAUAGUGGACGUUACUCGCAGAAUAAGCACCGGCUAACUCUGUGCCAGCAGCCGCGGUAAUACAGAGGGUGCGAGCGUUAAUCGGAUUUACUGGGCGUAAAGCGUGCGUAGGCGGCUUCUUAAGUCGGAUGUGAAAUCCCUGAGCUUAACUUAGGAAUUGCAUUCGAUACUGGGAAGCUAGAGUAUGGGAGAGGAUGGUAGAAUUCCAGGUGUAGCGGUGAAAUGCGUAGAGAUCUGGAGGAAUACCGAUGGCGAAGGCAGCCAUCUGGCCUAAUAUUGACGCUGAGGUACGAAAGCAUGGGGAGCAAACAGG